UUACACACCGCCCGUCACACCAAGGGAGUUUGUUGCACCAGAAGCAGGUAGCUUAACCGCAAGGGGGGCGCUUGCCACGGUGUGGCCGAUGACUGGGGUG
rnacentral:rRNA from 1 species